ACAAAGUCCACCCGCCAAUAUUAAUGCUGCUCCCCGCCAAAGAUCGUAUCUCCACAAAAUCAUUCGUAUCCGUCGACCUCGAGAAUACUUCGUUGAUCACCACACUCGGCGCCGCCACCGCUGGAUUUGCCACCCCCGGCGUCCCUUUCAACUGCGCGCUCGCCCGCCAAUCCGCCGGAUCGCUCGCCUCCCCAAACGGAUCAACCACCACCAACGAAUUUCCAGCGCCAUCCGCCUCCGCCGGCCACCCGCCUUCAUCAUUAAAAUUCACCGACGUCACCGUCCUCCCGUCCGGGCGGACCAACGCAAUCCGCUCGCCGCCGUUGGAUAAUUGCCCUCCGAAAAUCCCAAACGUCGUCGCCC
rnacentral:misc_RNA from 1 species